rnacentral:rRNA from 1 species
UACGUAGGGUGCAAGCGUUGUCCGGAAUUAUUGGGCGUAAAGAGCUCGUAGGCGGUUUGUCGCGCCUGCUGUGAAAACCCGAGGCUCAACCUCGGGCCUGCAGUGGGUACGGGCAGACUAGAGUGCGGUAGGGGAGAUUGGAAUUCCUGGUGUAGCGGUGGAAUGCGCUGAUAUCAGGAGGAACACCAAUGGCGAAGGCAGAUCUCUGGGCCGUAACUGACGCUGAGGAGCGAAAGCAUGGGGAGCGAACAGG